AAUCCAUUUGUUCAAAAACUUGACUGGUUAAUCAAAUGGAUUUUUGAAAAUCAAAAGCCAAAAUCUGUUUCAAAAACUACAAACAAUCAAGGCCUUAGAAAGAAAACUCUACUCUCAAAUCUCUUCCUCCUCGCCAUGGUUUCAUUCGGCCAAAACUCUGACCGUCGUCGCACACAUCCCUCCGAUCCACUCCGCGCACAUCCCUCCGAAUCGAUUCCGCCGGAUUGUCAGGUUUUCUCUCUUGCUUUAUGAUGAAUGCUUCUACUAAACCAAGGUAUGUGAUUUCUUAUCAUUAAUUCUUGCUGUGUAAGAUUUUCUUUGUUUGUUAUGUUUCAAGAGAUGAAACAGAGAAGGCCUGCUUAAUAGUGGUUUGGAGAUUUGGCAUGUCUUUAGCUGAAGCUUCUUCACUUAAUUUCUUUCAUAUUGUCUGUUAUUCUCUUGCUUUAUGAUGAAUGCUUUUAUUAAACCAAGGGUGAUUUUAUAAUUAAUUAUGGCUGUGUAAUAACAUCUUUGAUUUGUUAUGUUCGAUAGAUGCAACAGAGAAGGCUUGCAGACUUCAGCUUCAGGUCUUUAAUACUUCUUUGUUCUGACAAUUGUAUAGACAUAUUUUUCCACAAAUUCAUCCGAACAACUUGGCAAGGCUACUACAAUAUACCAUGGAGCAGCUGGAAAUAUGUUCCUUGAGAGAGGAAAGAUGUGUGGUGGCAGACUUAAGUGUUUGUUUUCUCUAAGUUAACUAUUUCUUUUACUCAACACAAUGAAUGUUGUUUACUAACUUACAAAUACUAAAUUUUUUUUUUCUUUGAAGAUCUCAAGGUUGGCGUGACAACUCUCAAAGGGAACUUGGUGGAGUUGAAGAAUGAGUUUAAGGAGAUGGUUCACAAUGAACAAUUCUCUUUGGAUUAAGACCCUACCACGACUACUAACCCGACUACGAUAGUGCUGGGUACUACCCAGUUAGAUAAGUGGUGUGCUAAUGUUUUUGGGAUUAAAAUGUUCAGCUUUUGUAAGUCAUUAGACUUUAUAAUUCUUUUGGUAAUAUAUGAUUGGAUCUUUGUAAAACAUUUGGUAAUAUAUGAUAUUGGAUUUUA